AAUACCCGUUGAUCCUGCGGGAGAUUGCUGCUAUCUGGAUUCGAUUAAGCCAUGCAAGUUCUGGCUCCGCAAGGAACCGGCAGAAUGCUCAGUAACACGUCGAUAAUCUGCCCUUAGAUCUGGGAUAACCUUGGGAAACUGAGGAUAACACCGGAUAGGGGAAGCUUUCUGGAACGAUGCUUCCCUGAAAGGCAACGUCUAAGGAUGAGUCGGCGGCCGAUUAGGCUGUUGGUGGGGUAACGGCCCACCAAACCAUAGAUCGGUACGGGCCAUGAGAGUGGUAGCCCGGAGAAGGACCCUGAGGUACUGGUCCUAGCCCCACGGGGUGCAGCAGGCGCGAAACCUCUACAAUGCACGAAAGUGUGAUAGGGGAAUCCAGAGUGCUCAUGCUUUGCAUGGGCUUUUGCCAAGGGCAAAUACCUUGGCGAAUAAGUGGUGGGAAAGACUGGUGCCAGCCGCCGCGGUAACACCAGCGCCACAAGUGGGGAUCGCUUUUAUUGGGCCUAAAGCGUCCGUAGCCGGUUUAGCUAAUCUCUUGUGAAAUCGUUCGGCUCAACCGAACGGCGUGCAGGAGACACUACUAGACUAGGGACCGGGAGGGGUCAGAGGUAUUCUGGGGGGAGCGGUAAAAUGCUAUAAUCCUCGGAGGACCACCGGUGGCGAAGGCGUCUGACCAGAACGGAUCCGACGGUGAGGGACGAAAGCCAGGGGAGCAAUCCGGAUUAGAUACCCGAGU
rnacentral:rRNA from 1 species